CUCAUUUGUGGUGCACAAAUGCCUGGGUGCCUAUUGCUGACUGCACUGCCUUGAAGUGCUUGGGAAGUACAGAGGAGAAGCUGUUUCAGCCCCAGGCAGGGAUUACGGUUCCUGAUUGCCUAUGGAGCAGUGUUGAGAGAAGAACUGUCUUCAGGAUCAGCAUAUCCUGUUCUUGCAGAUCAGCUCUCGCUUUCCCCAGGCCAGUCUCACCUGCAGCGUGCUGGUUUGGGGAUGUAGAUCUCAGAGGUUGGGGGCACUGGUGGCUCUGCUGCUGAAUUCUGGCCAAUUUCCCAAACUGGAGAGAGGAUUUGGGCAAGUCCCCAUGUCAGCAAGGCUGUGCCCUGGACCAGGCAGCGUCUCAGCCUCUGGCAGCAGCAUGGUGAUGAGCUGAAUCUCUGAAAUGACAGGCCCUCAGAGAGGCUGCUGGAUGCCUUGCUGGAUAUGUAAUCCCUGUGCUUGGAACCCGCAUGAGACAAUGCAAAGCGAAUUGCUGCAGACUAAAUAUAUGGUCAGGAUGUGUUGGGAGUUGGCAGUGCAGCUGGUUGGGGUAGCCAGGGAAGGAGGAGGGAAAUGGUCAGCUUUCUCUUUCUAUUGCACUGGAUGAUGCUCGGGGUCCUUUAAAAGACUUUAACAUGGUUUUGGAAAGGAAGAGCCGGAGGAGACUCAGCCACAAAAAGCUGGAUGGAGGCUGAAGGGCGCAACGUGCCUGGGAACUGUGAGAAGGGAUCAGCAGCCAGCUCUGAUCAGAGGAUGAAUUUGGGAGCAGAUUGUUUCACAGCAGCUCAGAGCAGGGCUCUGGCACCUCCUAUGAACUGGGGGGAGAUGGACUUCUGCUGUGACCCACUCCAUGAUCACAGCUCACACGUGAUCCUUUGUAUGAGCUGUGCCGCAUGCGGGCAGCUGGCUGAGGCAUGGGUUGUCCUUCUGAGAAGAACACAACCAAAAUAAAGAUCAGUUGUCUUGC